UCCUUGUUACGUUCAAUUUAUGUCCACGGACGUAAAUCGGACAUACGGACAUAAAUUGGACGUGAAACGUACAUUCAUUGGUCAUACAUACAUCAACACAUACAUCAACUCCGUUUAAAGCAAGUUGUGGAACUGGGCCUAAGGAGCCUUAUUGGCUUCCUUAUCUCAAGGGAGGUCACGAGCUUCCUUGAAGAGGAGAUGCCGCCUUUGGUCUGUUCGUUUUUGCUGCCCUUCUGAACUAACGCAAAAGUUAGAGUGAAAUAAAUAUAUUUUCUCUUACUCUAAUGUGUUAGUUCAGAAGUGCAGCGAAAAUGAACAGACCACUUUUAGCACAUGAUGCGCAGAGUACACAGAACAAAGUGUAUAAGGAAAAAAAGAAUCUUGGACAAUGUAUUUUUAAAUGAUUCUGACGUGGGAUUUGAGGACGAAAAUUCAGAGGAUCCGAUUCUGUGUCGAUCUGUGAAAAGGUACAUUCGUGAUUAGGAAAACCCCUUAGAAUUUUUCGAAGAUGUUCCUUUUCGGAAAAGGUUCAGCAAAGAAGCUGUGAUUGCGAUCUUAUUACCUCUCGUAAAUGCUCGUAAAUGGUUGAGGCGAUUGAACAACUGUGGUUUCUCCAUUAAUGCUUAAUGGCACUGCGCAACAAGCAGCUUUCAGAUUGUUAAUGGAGACUUGCGAGGAUACAGUCAAGCAUCAAUAUCGAGAAUUGUUGCAUGAGUUUCCAGAAUUUUAGCAUCAUAUUUGAAUGCAUAUAUUAAUUUUUCUACCGAACAAAAACGUCGAGAUAAUAAAAAUAAAGCCAACUGUUCAUCCACAAUAAGAUGUAUCGAUUGCAGCCAUAUACCAUACGCAUAGCGAAUCUUGGAGGAAGUAAUAGAGAGGUAUUCCGGAAUCGGAAAGGAUGGUUCUCUCUAAAUGUUGGCCCUCAACGAGAAAUUCUUGACAUAGUUAUCAGGCAUCCAGAUUCAACUCAUGAUGCCGUAAUAUUUGAUUGAAGCGGUCUAAGCUGUCGUUUCGAGCUAGGACACCUAAUGGCGCGAUUCUUUAACUCGUUAUUGGAGUUAACAACACUUUCGUUACUGCUGCGCAGCUUUUGUAUAUCGUAGAAAAGCUGCGCAAUGAUAACGAAACUGUCGUUAACUCCAAUAACGAGUUAAAGAAUCGCACCACUGGACGGCAUUUUAUUUGGUGUUAGUGAAUAUGCGUGCCGCAGUUAUCUACUGACGCCUGUUUUAAGACAGACGCAGAAAUUCGAUA
rnacentral:lncRNA from 1 species